rnacentral:rRNA from 1 species
CCUGGCGGCUUUAGCGCGGUGGUCCCACCUGACCCCAUGCCGAACUCAGAAGUGAAACGCCGUAGCGCCGAUGGUAGUGUGGGGCCUCCC